CAUUAUUCCAGAGAGCUGUGCAGUUUCACUGUGAUUUGGAAAGCAUGUUGUUCCUGAAGCUAUGGAGAAAGUGUCUCUUCAUACAAUUUAAUUCCUUUGUGGAGAGAGACAGAGGGCCUAGACACCCACCACGGAGUACUCACCGGCAGACAGCAGGAAGCUCCACUGCACAGGGUAUGGAAACUUCCGCUUAAUGAACAUCUGCAGGAUGAAAGUCACGCCAGUGCCUG